GAUGAACGCUGGCGGCGUGCCUAAUACAUGCAAGUCGAGCGAACAGAUGAGGAGCUUGCUCCUCUGACGUUAGCGGCGGACGGGUGAGUAACACGUGGAUAACCUACCUAUAAGACUGGGAUAACUUCGGGAAACCGGAGCUAAUACCGGAUAAUAUAUUGAACUGCAUGGUUCAAUAGUGAAAGACGGUUUUGCUGUCACUUAUAGAUGGAUCCGCGCCGCAUUAGCUAGUUGGUAAGGUAACGGCUUACCAAGGCAACGAUGCGUAGCCGACCUGAGAGGGUGAUCGGCCACACUGGAACUGAGACACGGUCCAGACUCCUACGGGAGGCAGCAGUAGGGAAUCUUCCGCAAUGGGCGAAAGCCUGACGGAGCAACGCCGCGUGAGUGAUGAAGGUCUUCGGAUCGUAAAACUCUGUUAUUGGGGAAGAACAAAUGUGUAAGUAACUAUGCACGUCUUGACGGUACCUAAUCAGAAAGCCACGGCUAACUACGUG
rnacentral:rRNA from 1 species